rnacentral:rRNA from 1 species
CACCAGGUUGAUUCUGCCUGACGUGGAUGCUAGUCUCAUAGGUUAAGCCAUGCAUGUGCAAGCGAAGCGUAAGUGGAGCGGCGCAAGGCUCAGUAACGGGCGAGUAUUUGAUCUCCUAGAGUGGAUAUCCUCUGUAACCGGAGGGCAAAACACAAGAUGAGCGAUUGACGAGGUCGUUCGUUUAACGAAUAGUGUAGGAGAGUAAGAAGCCAUCCCAUCAGUUAGUAAGUAGGGUAAGGGCCUACUUAGACGAAGACGGGUACGGGGAAUUAUCGUUUGAUUCCGGAGAGGGAGCCUGAGAGACGGCUACCAGGUCCAAGGACAGCAGCAGGCGCGAAAAUUACCGCAGCCUGCAUUCAGGGCGGUAGUAAGGAGACGUGAAAACAAUGUGCGGGCAAAAAACGCACUAGAUACAGGAGGACAAGACUGGUGCCAGCACCCGCGGUAAUACCAGCUCCUGGAGUGUCUAUGAUAUGAUUGCUGCAGUUAAAGAGUUCGUAGUCGAAGUGGUUAUAACGGUGUAACAGGCCUUCUCUCAAGGAGGGUUAUGCGCCGUGAUUCCAUGGAAUAAGGAGCGUUUAGGGGCCAGGUUAUUAAGCGACGAGGGGUGAAAUCUGGUGACUCGCUUAGGAGCAACAGAGGCGAAAGCGCUGGCCAGGAGCGAAUCCGAUGAUAAAGGACGUAGGCUAGAGGAUCGAAGACGAUUAGAGACCGUUGUAGUUCUAGCAGUAAACGAUGCCGAUACCGUGGUGCGGAUACGCGACGCGGAAGAGAAAUCGAGUAGGGCCCUGGGGAGAGUACACGCGCAAGCGAGAAAUUUAAAGGAAAUUGACGGAAGAACACCACAAGGAGUGGAGUGUGCGGCUUAAUUUGACUCAACGCGGGACAGCUUACCAGGCCCGACGGCCGGACGAGUGUUGUACACGAUAGGUCGAAGAGUGGUGCAUGGCCGUUAACGACGAGUGAGGUGACUUUUGGGUUAAAUCCGGGAAGUAGUGAGACCCCUACCGAAAGGGACAGGUGCCGAAAGCACAGGAAGGAAGGGUCAAGAACAGGUCAGUGAUGCCCUCAGAUGGUCUGGGCUGCACGCGCACUACAGUGGUCAUAGAAAUGAAACGAUAGAAUUAAAGAUGAUCGAGAGGGAAUGAGCUUUGUAAGAGGCUCAGGAACGAGGAAUUGCUAGUAAUCGCGGACUCAUUAAGACGCGAUGAAUACGUCCCUGUUCUUUGUACACACCGCCCGUCGUUAUCGAAGAUGGAGUCAGGCGCGAACAAGCGAGAGCGAGUGAGUGCAGGAUUCUAGAUGUGAUACAAGUCGUAACAUGGUUGCUGUUGG